rnacentral:rRNA from 1 species
AACGAACGCUGGCGGCAUGCCUAACACAUGCAAGUCGAACGAGACCUUCGGGUCUAGUGGCGCACGGGUGCGUAACGCGUGGGAACCUGCCCUUAGGUUCGGAAUAACUCCCCGAAAGGGGUGCUAAUACCGGAUAAUGUCUUCGGACCAAAGAUUUAUCGCCUUUGGAUGGGCCCGCGUUGGAUUAGCUAGUUGGUAGGGUAAAAGCCUACCAAGGCGACGAUCCAUAGCUGGUCUGAGAGGAUGAUCAGCCACACUGGGACUGAGACACGGCCCAGACUCCGACGGGAGGCAGCAGUGGGGAAUAUUGGACAAUGGGCGAAAGCCUGAUCCAGCAAUGCCGCGUGAGUGAUGAAGGCCUUAGGGUUGUAAAGCUCUUUUACCCGGGAUGAUAAUGACAGUACCGGGAGAAUAAGCUCCGGCUAACUCCG